rnacentral:rRNA from 1 species
UCAAGUGAAGAAGCGCAUACGGUGGAUGCCUUGGCAGUCAGAGGCGAUGAAAGACGUGGUAGCCUGCGAAAAGCUUCGGGGAGUCGGCAAACAGACUUUGAUCCGGAGAUCUCUGAAUGGGGGAACCCACCUAGGAUAACCUAGGUAUCUUGUACUGAAUCCAUAGGUGCAAGAGGCGAACCAGGGGAACUGAAACAUCUAAGUACCCUGAGGAAAAGAAAUCAACCGAGAUUCCCUUAGUAGUGGCGAGCGAACGGGGAUUAGCCCUUAAGCUUCAUUGAUUUUAGCGGAACGCUCUGGAAAGUGCGGCCAUAGUGGGUGAUAGCCCCGUACGCGAAAGGAUCUUUGAAGUGAAAUCGAGUAGGACGGAGCACGAGAAACUUUGUCUGAACAUGGGGGGACCAUCCUCCAAGGCUAAAUACUACUGACUGACCGAUAGUGAACCAGUACCGUGAGGGAAAGGCGAAAAGAACCCCGGAGAGGGGAGUGAAAUAGAACCUGAAACCGUAUGCGUACAAGCAGUGGGAGCCUACUUGUUAGGUGACUGCGUACCUUUUGUAUAAUGGGUCAGCGACUUAUAUUCAGUGGCAAGCUUAACCGUAUAGGGUAGGCGUAGCGAAAGCGAGUCUUAAUAGGGCGUUUAGUCGCUGGGUAUAGACCCGAAACCGGGCGAUCUAUCCAUGAGCAGGUUGAAGGUUAGGUAACACUGACUGGAGGACCGAACCCACUCCCGUUGAAAAGGUAGGGGAUGACUUGUGGAUCGGAGUGAAAGGCUAAUCAAGCUCGGAGAUAGCUGGUUCUCCUCGAAAGCUAUUUAGGUAGCGCCUCAUGUAUCACUCUGGGGGGUAGAGCACUGUUUCGGCUAGGGGGUCAUCCCGACUUACCAAACCGAUGCAAACUCCGAAUACCCAGAAGUGCCGAGCAUGGGAGACACACGGCGGGUGCUAACGUCCGUCGUGAAAAGGGAAACAACCCAGACCGCCAGCUAAGGUCCCAAAGUUGUGGUUAAGUGGUAAACGAUGUGGGAAGGCUUAGACAGCUAGGAGGUUGGCUUAGAAGCAGCCAUCCUUUAAAGAAAGCGUAAUAGCUCACUAGUCGAGUCGGCCUGCGCGGAAGAUGUAACGGGGCUCAAACCACACACCGAAGCUGCGGGUGUCACGUAAGUGACGCGGUAGAGGAGCGUUCUGUAAGCCUGUGAAGGUGAGUUGAGAAGCUUGCUGGAGGUAUCAGAAGUGCGAAUGCUGACAUGAGUAACGACAAUGGGUGUGAAAAACACCCACGCCGAAAGACCAAGGGUUCCUGCGCAACGUUAAUCGACGCAGGGUUAGUCGGUUCCUAAGGCGAGGCUGAAAAGCGUAGUCGAUGGGAAACAGGUUAAUAUUCCUGUACUUCUGGUUACUGCGAUGGAGGGACGGAGAAGGCUAGGCCAGCUUGGCGUUGGUUGUCCAAGUUUAAGGUGGUAGGCUGAAAUCUUAGGUAAAUCCGGGGUUUCAAGGCCGAGAGCUGAUGACGAGUCGUCUUUUAGAUGACGAAGUGGUUGAUGCCAUGCUUCCAAGAAAAGCUUCUAAGCUUCAGGUAACCAGGAACCGUACCCCAAACCGACACAGGUGGUCGGGUAGAGAAUACCAAGGCGCUUGAGAGAACUCGGGUGAAGGAACUAGGCAAAAUGGCACCGUAACUUCGGGAGAAGGUGCGCCGGCUAGGGUGAAGGAUUUACUCCGUAAGCUCUGGCUGGUCGAAGAUACCAGGCCGCUGCGACUGUUUAUUAAAAACACAGCACUCUGCAAACACGAAAGUGGACGUAUAGGGUGUGACGCCUGCCCGGUGCCGGAAGGUUAAUUGAUGGGGUUAGCGCAAGCGAAGCUCUUGAUCGAAGCCCCGGUAAACGGCGGCCGUAACUAUAACGGUCCUAAGGUAGCGAAAUUCCUUGUCGGGUAAGUUCCGACCUGCACGAAUGGCGUAACGAUGGCGGCGCUGUCUCCACCCGAGACUCAGUGAAAUUGAAAUCGCUGUGAAGAUGCAGUGUAUCCGCGGCUAGACGGAAAGACCCCGUGAACCUUUACUGUAGCUUUGCACUGGACUUUGAGUCUGCUUGUGUAGGAUAGGUGGGAGGCUUUGAAGCGUGGACGCCAGUUCGCGUGGAGCCAUCCUUGAAAUACCACCCUGGCAUGCUUGAGGUUCUAACUCUGGUCCGUAAUCCGGAUCGAGGACAGUGUAUGGUGGGCAGUUUGACUGGGGCGGUCUCCUCCUAAAGAGUAACGGAGGAGUACGAAGGUGCGCUCAGACCGGUCGGAAAUCGGUCGCAGAGUAUAAAGGCAAAAGCGCGCUUGACUGCGAGACAGACACGUCGAGCAGGUACGAAAGUAGGUCUUAGUGAUCCGGUGGUUCUGUAUGGAAGGGCCAUCGCUCAACGGAUAAAAGGUACUCCGGGGAUAACAGGCUGAUACCGCCCAAGAGUUCAUAUCGACGGCGGUGUUUGGCACCUCGAUGUCGGCUCAUCACAUCCUGGGGCUGAAGCCGGUCCCAAGGGUAUGGCUGUUCGCCAUUUAAAGUGGUACGCGAGCUGGGUUUAGAACGUCGUGAGACAGUUCGGUCCCUAUCUGCCGUGGACGUUUGAGAUUUGAGAGGGGCUGCUCCUAGUACGAGAGGACCGGAGUGGACGAACCUCUGGUGUUCCGGUUGUCACGCCAGUGGCAUUGCCGGGUAGCUAUGUUCGGAAAAGAUAACCGCUGAAAGCAUCUAAGCGGGAAACUUGCCUCAAGAUGAGAUCUCACUGGGAACUUGAUUCCCCUGAAGGGCCGUCGAAGACUACGACGUUGAUAGGCUGGGUGUGUAAGCGUUGUGAGGCGUUGAGCUAACCAGUACUAAUUGCCCGUGAGGCUUGACCAU